AGACCUACGGGGGGCAGCAGUGGGGAAUAUUGCGCAAUGGGGGAAACCCUGACGCAGCGACGCCGCGUGGAGGAUGAAGGCCUUCGGGUUGUAAACUCCUUUUGUAGGGGAAGAUAAUGACGGUACCCUGCGAAUAAGCCACGGCUAACUCUGUGCCAGCAGCCGCGGUAAGACAGAGGUGGCGAGCGUUGUUCGGAAUGACUGGGCUUAAAGGGCGAGUAGGCGGUGGAGCAAGUCUGAGGUGGAAUCCUACGGUUUAACCGUAGAACUGCCGUGGAAACUGUUUUGCUUGAGUCAGGGAGGGGAGGGCGGAAUUCCUGGUGUAGCGGUGAAAUGCGUAGAUAUCAGGAGGAAGGCCUGUGGCGAAAGUGGCCCUCUGGCACUGUACUGACGCUGAGGCGCGAAAGCGUGGGGAGCAAACAGGAUUAGAUACCCGGGUAGUCAU
rnacentral:rRNA from 1 species